GGCCGCAUGACGUGAACCCCGGAAUAAGCCCCGGCUAACUACGUGCCAGCAGCCGCGGUAACUCGUAAGGGGGGAGCGUUGUUCGGAAUCAUUGGGCGUAAAGGGCGCGCAGGCGGCGAGGCAAGUCCGGUGUGAAAGUGCUCGGCUCAACCUGAGUGAUGCGCUGGAAACUGCCCUGCUUGAGAUACACGGAGAGGGACGUCGCGAAUUCCAGGUGUAGGGGUGAAAUCUGUAGAUAUCUGUGAAAAAAACCGGUGGCGAAGGCGGACGUCUGUGCCAUGUACUGACACUGAGGCGCGAAAGUGCGGGGAGCGAACAGGUUUAUAUACCCUGUGUAGUCCGCACACUAAACAAUAUGCACCCUGUGGGGGGGGGUAUCCCUCGGUACCCAAGCCAACACAUUAAGUGCACCCCCUGGGGAGUAUGC
rnacentral:rRNA from 1 species